rnacentral:rRNA from 1 species
GACGAACGCUGGCGGCGUGCCUAAUACAUGCAAGUAGAACGCUGAAGGAGGAGCUUGCUUCUCUGGAUGAGUUGCGAACGGGUGAGUAACGCGUAGGUAACCUGCCUGGUAGCGGGGGAUAACUAUUGGAAACGAUAGCUAAUACCGCAUAAGAGUAGAUGUUGCAUGACAUUUGCUUAAAAGGUGCAAUUGCAUCACUACCAGAUGGACCUGCGUUGUAUUAGCUAGUUGGUGAGGUAACGGCUCACCAAGGCAACGAUACAUAGCCGACCUGAGAGGGUGGUCGGCCACACUGGGACUGAGACACGGCCCAGACUCCUACGGGAGGCAGCAGUAGGGAAUCUUCGGCAAUGGACGGAAGUCUGACCGAGCAACGCCGCGUGAGUGAAGAAGGUUUUCGGAUCGUAAAGCUCUGUUGUAAGAGAAGAACGAGUGUGAGAGUGGAAAGUUUCACACUGUGAACGGAUUUUACCAGAAAAGGACGGCA